GUGGGGAAUAUUGGGCAAUGGGCGAAAGCCUGACCCAGCAACGCCGCGUGAAGGAAGAAGGUUUUCGGAUCGUAAACUUCUAUCCUUGGUGAAGAUAAUGACGGUAGCCAAGAAGGAAGCCCCGGCUAACUACGUGCCAGCAGCCGCGGUAAUACGUAGGGGGCAAGCGUUGUCCGGAAUGAUUGGGCGUAAAGGGCGCGUAGGCGGCCCGGUAAGUCUGAAGUGAAAGUCCUGCUUUUAAGGUGGGAAUUGCUUUGGAUACUGUCGGGCUUGAGUGCAGGAGAGGUAAGCGGAAUUCCCGGUGUAGCGGUGAAAUGCGUAGAGAUCGGGAGGAACACCAGUGGCGAAGGCGGUUUACUGGACUGUAACUGACGCUGAGGCGCGAAAGUGUGGGGAGCAAACAGGAUUAGAAACCCCUGUAGUCC
rnacentral:rRNA from 1 species